rnacentral:rRNA from 1 species
UACGGGGGGGGGCAAGCGUUGUUCGGAAUUACUGGGCGUAAAGGGCUCGUAGGUGGCCAACUAAGUCGGACGUGAAAUCCCUCAGCUUAACUGGGGAACUGCGUCCGAUACUGGAUGGCUUGAGUUUGGGAGAGGGAUGCGGAAUUCCAGGUGUAGCGGUGAAAUUCGUAGAUAUCAAGCGGAACACCGGUGGCGAAGGCGGCCUUCUGGACAGUGACUGACGGCUGAGACGCGAAAGCGUGGGGAGCAAACAGGG